rnacentral:lncRNA from 1 species
UGACCCCAUAGAUUCUAUUCUAUCUGAUAGUGAAGAAUAUUGUGAUCCCUAUCAUAAUAUUAUUGAAACUCUUUUCAAUGGAUUGGAACCAUUGUAACUCUACUCAUCAAAGACCAUCAAUCAUCAAGAUGAUGUUUAUGAGCCCCAUAAUCCCUUAGUGACCUUAGUAAUAUGUAGUGGCAAUCUAGCAAAAUAAAAGUGAUGAAUCUCUAGGUAUAGUUACCGUAUGAUACAGCCCCUCUAUCAUGAGUCUUGACU